CCGCCCCCGAGCGCCGCCCGGCCCGCGCCUCCUGAGCCCGCCCGCCAAGAACUUACUGCUGGAUCAAAAACAAGAUCAAGUGUCUUGGACUGAAGUGUGACAGGGUACCAAUGAAGGAAUACAAAGAAGAAAGCUGGAAGCACCGUGACUUCCUUCAAGUCUGUUGAGGCUGCUAAGGAAAGAGCCCUGAGCUUUGUAUGAGAUUUAAUCUUAAAAACCAAAGACUUUCUUGAAAGGACUUCUUGUGAAGCUUCCACGUGUUUUAAGUGGUUCCGCUUUGCAAACUAUUCUUUUCUAUUUAUGGGAUGCAAAGAAUAUUCAGCACCUAUAGGUGUAAAAAGUUAAAUUAUUUGUAGUAUCUAUAUUUGUAUUUAUUUUGAUGAAUGUUGUUAAGCAGUUAUUGGUCUUAAUAUUGCUUUUUUUGCAUUAAUGUGUCCAUUCCAAAUAAAUUACUUGAAAUGUUCACUUUUUUAUUACUA